rnacentral:rRNA from 1 species
CCUACGGGGGGCAGCAGUGGGGAAUAUUGGGCAAUGGAGGCAACUCUGACCCAGCAACGCCGCGUGAAUGAUGAAGGUCUUCGGAUUGUAAAGUUCUGUGAUGGGGGAUGAACACAAUGACGGUACCCCAAUAGCAAGCCACGGCUAACUACGUGCCAGCAGCCGCGGUAAUACAUAGGUGGCAGGCGUUAUCCGGAAUGACUGGGCGUAAAGGGUGCGUAGGUGGGUUUGUAAGUUGGCGGUGUAAUUCCGGGGCUCAACCCCGUCAGUGCCGUCAAAACUAUUAGACGAGAGUGCAGGAGGGGUAAGUGGAAUUCCUGGUGUAGCGGUGAAAUGCGUAGAUAUUAGGAGGAACAUCAGGGGCGAAGGCGACUUACUGGACUGUAACUGACACUGAGGCACGAAAGCGUGGGGAGCAAACAGGAUUAGAUACCCUUGUAGUC